GUUUUGAUAACUCUCCCCCCAGUAUAUACAAGCUGUGUUGCUGUGUAAUGCAGUCAUACCUUUGGCUGCUUAAUUGGUGGCUUUAUAUGCUCAAAACUUACUUUUGUCCGCAGUCAGGAACAGUCAGAGGCGUGAACAGAGGUCUGGGAACACCUGUUCUUAGGUUGUGUGUGGUAUUCCUGCUCAGUUCCAUUGAAGUAAAUAGACCCAAGCUGUAAUACUACACACAACCUAAGGACAGGUGUGGUGAUGUUUUAAGAAGAAAUGAAAGGGGUACUCCAUCCCUAGAUAUCCUAUCCCCUAUCCAAAGGAUCAGCACCCUUGAAUAUUCAAAUUCACCCAGCGGGCCCACCUCCUGUGCGCAAGUCACCAAACAAAAAAAAGAGGACCUUCAGAGGGGUGUCCCAGGCUCCGGGUUGCAGGACAACAAUUGAUGAGAGAACAGCAUCUCCGAUCACAGGUCCACAUUAUAGACCCAGUGUCCAAAUGACAAGUAAACCUGCCAGCUUGCCAAGGAUUCUCUAAAGCAUUACAGCUGAUCACUAGAAGUUAUCUCAGAUCCAGGUCUUAGCUAUAUAAUACAGUCAGUACCAGCAAACGAUGGAGUGGGUGCAGCCUACUGCAUAGACAGCAGCUGAUCGCACAAAAGGAAAACAGAUAAAACCAGAGACAAGUACAAGCCAAGCCUGUCCACCUGAAGCCUAGGACGGCAUAUGUCAUGACCCAUAGCCAAGCUGCUGAACAAGCUACUGUGUAUGCUCAUUGUGCUUUCCAGGGCUUCUCCCCUGUUUAUUUUUCCAUCUAGUUACCUGCUGAUUAUUAAGAGGAGGGGAGGAGGGUAAAGAGGCACCACGUGCAUGUGCAAAACAUUUACUCAUGGAAAAUGAACUCUGCAAAAUACCUUCUGUACUGAGAAUCGGAUUAACUCCUUAGAAUCAAGAGAUACGCACACAAUGCAUAUCCCCUGAGAACAUAGAAAA